rnacentral:rRNA from 1 species
CCACAGGAACAGCCCCGGCUAACUACGUGCCAGCAGCCGCGGUAAUACGUAGGGGGCGAGCGUUGUCCGGAGUUACUGGGCGUAAAGGGUCCGCAGGCGGUUGCGUGCGUUUGUGGUGACAGCGGUCGGCUUAACUGACCGAGGGCCYACGAAGACGGCGCAGCUCGAGGGCCYAGAGAGGGACYAUGGAACCCCCGGGUGGAGUGGUGAAAAUGCGUAGAGAUCCGGAAAGAACYACCGAAGGCGAAGGCRAAUGUCYCUGGCUGGUACCUGACGYWCGGGGACGAAAAGCGAGGGGAGCGAACGGGAUUAGAUACCCCGGUAGUCCYWCGCCCUAAACGAUGACCCACUAGGUGUGCGGCGUAUCGACCCGCUGCGUGCCGACGCMAACGCMAAUAAAGUGGUCCGCYCUGGGGAGUACGGUCGCCAAGAUUAAAACUCRAAAGGAAAUUGACGGGG